AGUGUGGUUAAUGAUGUGCUCUCUUUCCCCGACUUAUCGACUAUGCUGACACACUCUCGUCUUAUAAGCCAAAUGUUGCUGAAACCACAAA
rnacentral:snoRNA from 1 species